rnacentral:ncRNA from 1 species
CCGUGAAAAAACCACACCUCGGGCGACCGGGGGCCGGAAAGCCGCGGGUCUCAAAGGAGAUGGCCGGGUUGCCAGA